CCCGAUGAGAAGGUAGCUCAGGAUUGGAGGAGAGAACUGUGGCCUCACGCUGGCAGCAACAAAGGAGCCACGAUAGUUUACUAACACUUGCCCACCCAUGAAGCCAGCACUCAGAUCUUUUGGUGACUAAACUACAUGAAAGAAAAACUGAAGACAGCCAAGUGUUAAGCUAAAUCGUGAAUACACAGGUAGAUAUCUUCUCAAAGUUGAAAACUGUGCCGUAUUUAUAUGAAGACAUACAUUGCACUGAAAGGGCUUACGCUAACUACCUCCCCAACGAAGGUACUAUGGGACAAAAAAUUUACUUGUCAAUAAGUACCAUACAUGUUUCUGAUGAAUAUG